rnacentral:rRNA from 1 species
UACAGAGGUCUCGAGCGUUAGGCGGAAUCACUGGGCUUAAAGCGUGUGUAGGUGGAUGCCUAAGUACCUUGUGAAAUCCCACGGCUCAACCGUGGAACUGCUCGGUAUACUGCUCGUCUUGAGCCACUUAGGGGCUGUCGGAACAAACGGUGGAGCGGUGAAAUGCGUAGAUAUCGUUUGGAACGCCAAUGGUGAAAACAGACAGCUGGGAGUGUGCUGACGCUGAGACACGAAAGCCAGGGGAGCGAACGGG